AAAUUGAAGAGUUUGAUCAUGGCUCAGAUUGAACGCUGGCGGCAGGCCUAACACAUGCAAGUCGAACGGUAACAGGAAACAGCUUGCUGUUUCGCUGACGAGUGGCGGACGGGUGAGUAAUGUCUGGGAAACUGCCUGAUGGAGGGGGAUAACUACUGGAAACGGUAGCUAAUACCGCAUAACGUCGCAAGACCAAAGAGGGGGACCUUCGGGCCUCUUGCCAUCGGAUGUGCCCAGAUGGGAUUAGCUAGUAGGUGGGGUAACGGCUCACCUAGGCGACGAUCCCUAGCUGGUCUGAGAGGAUGACCAGCCACACUGGAACUGAGACACGGUCCAGACUCCUACGGGAGGCAGCAGUGGGGAAUAUUGCACAAUGGGCGCAAGCCUGAUGCAGCCAUGCCGCGUGUAUGAAGAAGGCCUUCGGGUUGUAAAGUACUUUCAGCGGGGAGGAAGGGAGUGAAGUUAAUACCUUUGCUCAUUGACGUUACCCGCAGAAGAAGCACCGGCUAACUCCGUGCCAGCAGCCGCGGUAAUACGGAGGGUGCAAGCGUUAAUCGGAAUUACUGGGCGUAAAGCGCACGCAGGCGGUUUGUUAAGUCAGAUGUGAAAUCCCCGGGCUCAACCUGGGAACUGCAUCUGAUACUGGCAAGCUUGAGUCUCGUAGAGGGGGGUAGAAUUCCAGGUGUAGCGGUGAAAUGCGUAGAGAUCUGGAGGAAUACCGGUGGCGAAGGCGGCCCCCUGGACGAAGACUGACGCUCAGGUGCGAAAGCGUGGGGAGCAAACAGGAUUAGAUACCCUGGUAGUCCACGCCGUAAACGAUGUCGACUUGGAGGUUGUGCCCUUGAGGCGUGGCUUCCGGAGCUAACGCGUUAAGUCGACCGCCUGGGGAGUACGGCCGCAAGGUUAAAACUCAAAUGAAUUGACGGGGGCCCGCACAAGCGGUGGAGCAUGUGGUUUAAUUCGAUGCAACGCGAAGAACCUUACCUGGUCUUGACAUCCACGGAAGUUUUCAGAGAUGAGAAUGUGCCUUCGGGAACCGUGAGACAGGUGCUGCAUGGCUGUCGUCAGCUCGUGUUGUGAAAUGUUGGGUUAAGUCCCGCAACGAGCGCAACCCUUAUCCUUUGUUGCCAGCGGUCCGGCCGGGAACUCAAAGGAGACUGCCAGUGAUAAACUGGAGGAAGGUGGGGAUGACGUCAAGUCAUCAUGGCCCUUACGACCAGGGCUACACACGUGCUACAAUGGCGCAUACAAAGAGAAGCGACCUCGCGAGAGCAAGCGGACCUCAUAAAGUGCGUCGUAGUCCGGAUUGGAGUCUGCAACUCGACUCCAUGAAGUCGGAAUCGCUAGUAAUCGUGGAUCAGAAUGCCACGGUGAAUACGUUCCCGGGCCUUGUACACACCGCCCGUCACACCAUGGGAGUGGGUUGCAAAAGAAGUAGGUAGCUUAACCUUCGGGAGGGCGCUUACCACUUUGUGAUUCAUGACUGGGGUGAAGUCGUAACAAGGUAACCGUAGGGGAACCUGCGGUUGGAUCACCUCCUUACCUUAAGAAGAAGC
rnacentral:rRNA from 1 species